ensembl:lncRNA
UUUUUUUUUUCUUUCUUUUUUUGGAUAAAAGUAACACUGAUGAGAGCUGUGGUUUUGGACACCACAUUUUUUGGGGGGGGGGGGCAUCCCAUGGCCUAUGGACUUCCCUGAGCCAGGGACCAGAUACCAGUCAAAGUUUUGACCUAAUGUACAGUUGCAGAAACGCUGGAACCUUAACCCACUUUCCUGUGGCUGUGGAUUAACCUGCAUCCCAGCGCUCCCAAGACACCGCUGAUCCUAUGCUGAUCCUGUUGCAUCGAAGCAGGACUCCUGGACUUCACAUCUCUUCAGAAGCCUCCAAAGAUUUCUUCCAGACCACUAGACACUGCCACUGUUUCCUCAUUGCCACUGUUGUCCUGGUGAUGUGGAGUAGAAGGAUUCAGGAAUUGUAAUUGAGCCAGACCGCUAUUGAAGUUCAAGUUAAAACUAGAAUUCUUUGGAGUUCCCGUGUGGCUCAGUGGCUAACGAAUCCAACUAGGAACCAUGAGGUUGCAGGUUCGAUCCCUGGCCUCACUCAGUGGGUUAAGGAUCUGGUGUCGGUGUGAGCUGUGGUGUAGGUUGAAGAUGUAGCUCAGAUCUGGCGGGUUGAAUGGGAGCUACAGCUGUUGGCCUAUGCUACAGCCACAGCAACUCGGGUUCUGAACCCUGUCUGCGACCCUCGCCACAGCUCACAGCAACGCGGGAUCCGUAACCCACUCAGGCCAGGGAUCAAACCCAUAUCCUCAUGGAUGCUCGUCGGGUUUGUAACAGCUGAGCCACGGCUCGAACUCCAAGAUUUAAUAUUUUUUAGCAUGUUGAUCAGAUCAGAUUUUGUUUUGGUUCGUUUUGUUUUGUUUUGCCUGCCUCCAUUUUGCAUAUGGACUUACUGAGCCGCAGUUGGGACCUACAUAAACUGCAGCUGUGCAGCACUGGAUUUUAACUCACUGUGCUGGGGCAGGGAUGGACCCUGCAUCCCCGCACUCCAGAGAUGCCACCGAUCCUGUUGCACCACAGCAGGUACUCCUCCAAGCUUUUGCAAAUAUUUUCUCCCAGUUUGUGGUUUGUCUUCUAAUUCUCUUGAUAAUGUCUUUCACUUCUAAGUGAAAAGCAACUCCUGCCUUCUAAGUGCUCUCUAGAUAGUUCCUUUUGGUGCUUCUUCAGCUUCCUGUUUCUCAUUUUUUAAUGACUCUUCUUUCCCCUCAGGAUAAAACUUGAAUGAUCGAAAAUGAUGUAAAGGGUAGGAAUCAUGAGUGGUACGCAUGGAGUUAGCUCUGUUGUGGUGUAGUGGGUUAAGGAUCCAGAGUUAUUGCAGCGGCUUGGGUCAAAAAAGAAAAGUGAUAAUCAGGUUUUACUUCUCCACAUAUAGUCUUAGAAGAUCUUAACCUUACCCCUGUUUAUCUUCCUAGUUUCAUUUCUUUCCAUUCCCACUUGGUGCUGAGUUCAAACUCUUCAUUUCUCCUUGCCUGAACACUGUCUCCUCCCUUUACUUUUUGUCUUAGUUGGCAUCCUCAUCUUUACACUUAGCAAAUUUUAGUUUAGAGGUUAUUUCCUCUUAUAAAUCCCUGAGCCUCAAGAUGGCCUACACAUGUGGUUCCAUUAUACUAAUUACUCAACUGUUAAUGUUGCCUAUUUGGACUGGACUGCAAAUUCCUAUGUGUCUUGUUUGUAU